rnacentral:lncRNA from 1 species
AUGCCAUUCUCCUGCCUCAGCCUCCAGAGUAGCUGGGACUACAGACACCUGCCAGCACACCGGGCUAAUUUUUUGUAUUUUUAGUAGAGACGGGGUUUCACUGUGUUAGCCACCAUGGUCUCGAUCUCCUGACCUCGUGAUCCACCCGCCUCGGCCUCCCAAAGUGCUGGGAUUACAGGCAUGAGCCACCGCACCUGGCCUGGUUUACCCUUUCAUUGACAGUGGAGCCUGUGCCCACUGCAUUAAAGUUGAAGCUCUGUCACUGGCGAUUUGGCAGAUUCCCCUAGAGCUGUCGCCAAUUCCAGCCAUAUGUGUCUUGAAUUCAUGCUUUUUGCUUUUUAUAUUCAAGCUGGUGGUUUUAGGUGUUUUAUUUAUUUAUUUUUUUUUUAUACGGAGUCUUGCUCUGUCGCCUAGGCUGGAGUGCAGUGGUGCGAUCUUGGCUCACGGCAAGCUCCAACUCCCAGGUUCACGCCAUUCUCCUGCCUCAGCCUCUCGAGUAGCUGAGGCAGGAGAAUUGCUUGAACCUGGGAGGCAGAGGUUGCAGUGAGCCAAGAUCGCGCCAUUGCACUCCAGUCUGGGCAACAAGAGCGAAACUCUGUCUCAAUAACUAAAUAAAUAAAUAAAUAAAAAUAAAGUGUCAGGGCAUGGUGGCUUACACCUAUUAUCCCAGCACUUUGGGACGCUGAGACAGGAGAAUCAAUUGCGUUCAGGAUUUUUUUUUUUUUUUUUUUCUGAGAUGGAGUCAGUUCCUGUCGCCCAAGCUGGAGAGCAGUGAUGCGAUCUCGGCUCACUGCAACCUCCACCUCCUGGGGUCAAGCGAUUCACCUGAGGCCAGGAUCUUGAGAUGCUGUGUGCCUGUAGUCCUAGCUACUUGAGAGAAACUAAGAUGGGAGGAUCUUUUGAGCCUAGGAGUUCAAGGCUACAGUGAGCUAUGAUCUCACCCAUGUAUACCAGCCUGUGUGACAGAGCAAGAUCCUGUCUCUAAAAAAUAACUUAGGAGAGACAACAAAAAUAUGGGCAAAAUAAGGAGUUAAAAUGGAGGACAAUACAAAUGGUAUAUACAUACAUGCCCAUACACAUAUACCUAUAAUCUCUACACACGCAUGUAUGUAUAUGUGUGCAUGUGUAACUUUUGCUUAUCUUUCAUUCUGGCAAAAAUGUAAAUGACCAGGCCAGGUGUGGUGACUCAUGCCUGUAAUCCCUGUACUUUGGGAGGCCGAGGCAGGCGGAUCAACUGAGGUCAGGAGUUCAAGACCAGCCUGGAUAACAUACAGUGAAACCUUGUCUCUACUAAAAAAUACAAAAAUUAGCCGGGCAUGGUGGUGUGCACCUGUAAUCUCAGCUACUCAGGGGGCUGAGGCAGGAGAAUUGCUUGAACCCAGGAGGUGGAGGUUGCAGUGAGCCAAGAUCAUGUCACUGUAGUCCAGCUUGGGUGACAGAGUGAGAUUCUGUCUCUAAAAUAAUAAUAAUAGGCUGGGCGCGG